GACGAACCGUGCGAACGUUGUUCGGAAUCACUGGGCUUAAAGGGCGCGUAGGCGGGUGACCAAGUCCGGGGUGAAAUCUUUCGGCUUAACCGGAAAAUAGCCUUGGAUACUGGUUGUCUUGAGGGAGGUAGGGGCAUGUGGAACUUCCGGUGGAGCGGUGAAAUGUGUUGAUAUCGGAAGGAACGCCGGUGGCGAAAGCGACGUGCUGGCCCUCUUCUGACGCUGAGGCGCGAAAGCUAGGGGAGCAAACGGG
rnacentral:rRNA from 1 species